AACGGGUUAAAGUUUACUUUAACUGUCAGCUAAGUGGCGCACGGGUGAGUAAUAUAUAGUUAAUCUGCCCCAAAGAAGAGAAUAAUUGUUGGAAACGACUUGUAACUCUCUAUAUGCCUUUAUCACAUAAGUGAGCAAGGGAAACAUUUAUGGCUUUGGGAUGAGACUGUACGGUAUCAGUUAGUUGGUAAGGUAAUGGCUUACCAAGACUAUGACGCCUAACUGGUUUGAGAGGAUGAUCAGUCACACUGGAACUGAGACACGGUCCAGACUCCUACGGGAGGCAGCAGUGGGGAAUAUUGCACAAUGGAGGAAACUCUGAUGCAGCAACGCCGCGUGGAGGAUGACACAUUUCGGUGCGUAAACUCCUUUUAUAUGAGAAGAUAAUGACGGUAUCAUAUGAAUAAGCACCGGCUAACUCCGUGCCAGCAGCCGCGGUAAUACGGGGGGUGCAAGCGUUACUCGGAAUCACUGGGCGUAAAGAGCAUGUAGGCGGAUAGAUAAGUUGGAAGUGAAAUCCUAUGGCUUAACCAUAGAACUGCUUCCAAAACUGUCUAUCUAGAAUAUGGGAGAGGUAGAUGGAAUUUCUGGUGUAGGGGUAAAAUCCGUAGAGAUCAGAAGGAAUACCGAUUGCGAAGGCGAUCUACUGGAACAUUAUUGACGCUCAGAUGCGAAAGCGUGGGGAGCAAACAGGAUUAGAUACCCUGGUAGUCCACGCCCUAAACGAUGCACACUAGUUGUUGCCUUGCUAGACAAGGCAGUAAUGCAGUUAACACAGUAAGUGUGCCGCCUGGGGAGUACGGU
rnacentral:rRNA from 1 species